rnacentral:tRNA from 1 species
AAGAAAAUAAGCUAAAAUAAGCUGAUGGAUUCAUACUCCAUAAAUGAGAUAAAGCUCUCUUUUCUUA